UAGGGAAUAUUGGUAAUGGGCGAAAGCCUGAACCAGCAACGCCGCGUGUGCGAUGAAGGCCUUCGGGUCGUAAAGCACUUUUUGGAGGGAUGAGGAAGGACAGUACCUCCAGAAUAAGCCUCGGCUAACUACGUGCCAGCAGCCGCGGUAACACGUAGGAGGCAAGCGUUAUUCGGAUUUACUGGGCGUAAAGCGCGUGCAGGCGGUUCGGAAAGUUGGAUGUGAAAGCUCCUGGCUUAACUGGGAGAGGUCGUUCAAUACUUCCGGACUUGAGAGUGGGAGAGGGAGGUGAAAUUCCGGGUGUAGUGGUGAAAUGCGUAGAUAUCCGGAGGAACACCAGAGGCGAAAGCGGCCUUCUAGGCCACGGCUGACGCUCAGACGCGAAAGCUAGGGGAGCAGACG
rnacentral:rRNA from 1 species